rnacentral:rRNA from 1 species
AGAGUUUGAUCAUGGCUCAGGAUGAACGCUGGCGGCGUGCCUAACACAUGCAAGUCGAGCGAUUUACUUCGGUAAAGAGCGGCGGACGGGUGAGUAACGCGUGGGUAACCUGCCUCAUACACAUGGAUAACAUACCGAAAGGUAUGCUAAUACAAGAUGAUAUAAGAGAUUCGCAUGGAUUUCUUAUCAAAGCUCCGGCGGUAUGAGAUGGACCCGCGUCUGAUUAGCUAGUUGGUAAGGUAACGGCUUACCAAGGCGACGAUCAGUAGCCGACCUGAGAGGGUGAUCGGCCACAUUGGAACUGAGACACGGUCCAAACUCCUACGGGAGGCAGCAGUGGGGAAUAUUGCACAAUGGGCGAAAGCCUGAUGCAGCAACGCCGCGUGAGCGAUGAAGGCCUUCGGGUCGUAAAGCUCUGUCCUCAAGGAAGAUAAUGACGGUACUUGAGGAGGAAGCCCCGGCUAACUACGUGCCAGCAGCCGCGGUAAUACGUAGGGGGCUAGCGUUAUCCGGAUUUACUGGGCGUAAAGGGUGCGUAGGUGGUUUCUUAAGUCAGGAGUGAAAGGCUACGGCUCAACCGUAGUAAGCUCUUGAAACUGGGAAACUUGAGUGCAGGAGAGGAAAGUGGAAUUCCUAGUGUAGCGGUGAAAUGCGUAGAUAUUAGGAGGAACACCAGUAGCGAAGGCGGCUUUCUGGACUGUAACUGACACUGAGGCACGAAAGCGUGGGGAGCAAACAGGAUUAGAUACCCUGGUAGUCCACGCCGUAAACGAUGAGUACUAUGUGUCGGGGGUUACCCCCCUCGGUGCCGCAGCUAACGCAUUAAGUACUCCGCCUGGGGAGUACGCUCGCAAGAGUGAAACUCAAAGGAAUUGACGG